rnacentral:rRNA from 1 species
AUGAAAGUUAUUGCUUGGAACUGCCAUGGGCUUGGGAACCCAUCGGCAGUUCGAAGCUUGCUCGAGCUUCAACGGGCAGAAGAUCCCGACAUCCUCUUUCUCUCUGAAACGAAGCUGAGGGAGAAGGAGAUUGAGUUCUUGAGGUGGAGAUGGAGUCUAGUGCACAUGGUGGUGCAGGAUUGCGAUGGGAGAUGUGGUGGACUGGCGCUGUUUUGGCGAAGGGGUGUGGAGGUGAAUCUCAGGUCGAAGGGCCGAUGCCACAUAGAUGCGGAGGUUGUGGCGGAGGAUGGUGUGAAGUGGAGGCUGACGAGGAUCUACGGAGAAUCAAAGGCGGGGGAGAAGGAGAACACGUGGAGGCUGCUGCGGACGCUGCAUGGCCAAACGGACCUGCCAUGGCUGUGUCUUGGCGAUUUUAACGAGAUUCUUUUCGUGCGGGAGAAGGAAGGAGGGCCGGCUCGGGCCCAGGGCUGCAUGGACGCUUUUCGAAGGGCGUUGGAAGCUUGCGAGCUGAAUGAUUUGGGGUAUGUUGGGGACCCCUUCACCUGGAGGAACAAUUGGAGAGAUGCGGCCGGUUACACAAGGGAACGUCUGGAUCGGGCGGUAGCAAACGUUGGCUGGAGAUGUCUUUUCCCCCUAUACAAAAUUAUCAAAGGUGACCCACGACACUCGGACCACCGGCCUGUGAUCGCGGAGUUGAAUGGGCAAACAAUAGGGGGCUUUCAAGGUGGGGGGCAGAGGUGUUUUCGUUUUGAGGCUCGAUGGCUGAAGGAGGAGGGGUGUGAGCAGGUGGUUACGGAGGCAUGGGAGGCGGCGAUAAAUGAAGAAUUCUGCUCAGUAGGGGCGGCGGUGAGGAGGAUUGGUGGUAGUCUAGUUCGAUGGGACAGGGAGGUCCUAGGGGAGCCGCGCAAUAGGAUAAGGAGAGCAAAAAAGGACUUGGAGAAAUGUCGGCGCGGAGUCAUUGACCAACAUCAGGUUUCACGUGAGCAUCUUUUGAGGUAUAAGCUAAGUCGGCUGGAGGACCAAUAUAAUCUCUAUUGGCAACAGCGAGCCCACGUCAAUUGGCUCAAAAAUGGUGACCGCAAUACAGGAUUCUUCCAUGCUCAUGCCUCUGAGAGGAGAAGGGUGAAUACUAUCAGGAGCUUGAAGAGGGACGGGGGUGGUGUGGUGGAGAGGGAAGAGGAGAUUGGGCCCUUUAUCUCUAACUACUACAAAAGUUUGUUCAUGUCUUCUGCAGGCCCCCUAAAUGAUGAACUUCUCCAACAUGUGCCUAAAACAGUAACCCAUGAGAUGAACGAGCAGCUUAUGAAGCCUUUAAGUGGGGACGAGAUUACACAUGCUCUGAACAGUAUUGGGGAUUUUAAGGCCCCGGGUCCGGAUGGGAUGCCGGCGAUCUUCUACAAAAAGUUCUGGGAGAAGAUGGGAGCUAAAAUUCAGGAGGAAGUCCUGAGUGUUUUGAACGGUGGUGACAUGCCCGCGGGGUGGAAUGAGACAAUUAUAGUGUUGAUCCCGAAGGUCAUCCUCCCGGACAUCAUAUCCCCGACCCAAUCUGCUUUCGUGCCGGGGCGCAUGAUCACGGAUAAUGUAUUGCUUGCUUAUGAGAUCACCCACAUGAUGCAUAGGAAGAAAGGAGGCCGAGACGGGCUGGUGGCGGUCAAAUUGGACAUGAGUAAAGCCUAUGACAGGGUGGAAUGGGACUUCCUUGAGAAAAUGAUGGUGCAUAUGGGCUUCUCGAGUGCUUGGCGGGGCCUCCGGCAGGGCGACCCAUUAUCACCGUACUUGUUCAUCUUAUGUGCGGAAGCUUUCUCCAUCCUUCUGCAGCAUGCUGAGCUUGAUCAUACGAUUGAGGGGAUCCAGAUCUGCCCACAAGCACACAGAAUCAACCAUCUAUUUUUUGCGGAUGAUUCACUCAUUGUUAUGAAAGCGACAGUGGCCAGUGCGGAGAAGCUCCAGCAAGUCUUGGCUCUGUAUGAAGCUCAGUCGGGCCAGAUGAUCAACAAAGAUAAGUCGUCUGCUUUCUUUAGCAAGGGUAUGAGUGGACCUCGGAAACAACAAGUGCUCAAUGCGCUCCACAUUCCGUCUGAAUCAAAAAAACGAACGUUACUUGGGGCUCCCAGUUCACCUGGGGGCUGCAAAAAGUAA